rnacentral:lncRNA from 1 species
AUGUCCCCAUCUCCUUCGUGGCCCUGCCGUUCCAGACAAGGGGCAUCAGCCAGGAGGGGUGCAUCUCAACGCCACUGGAAGGCAGGUGACAGUACCAGAAGUGCUGACACCCUGGUACCCCCCCCUCCAGCUGCCCGGGAAGUGGGGCGGGGGAGGGGGCUUCAGUCAUUAACUUCCUGGAACCUGGGUCCUCGGCUGUGGGACCGGGACUCACCCCUGCACCUCGGCUGCUCCCUCUGGACCACCGGCCACAUAAACGUCGUGGGUCAUAGCUCACUCACGCGCAACGGCUCGUGGCAACGGAAUCAAGGUGGCGCCUUCUCCUCCCCUCCCACCCAAGGCUCUGCUCGUCUCACCCCAACCCUGCACCACAGACACCGCCACGCACGACAAGCCCACCGCCAGGCCCCACGUGGCCUUUGCUACUUCCCCAAAGUGGGGCCACCAAGGACACUUUUCCUUGUACGUGGGCUUCUGUGUGAGCCGCCGCAACUUGGGGCCUUAACAGUGGUGUUGGGGGGUCUGAGGGUUCGGUCCUGCUCCCCAUUUCUCUGGUGCGGAUUUGCAUAUGGCACCUCCCCUCCCCCAAAGGAGAAGCUCGGUGACAGCAGUGACGGCCACGGUGUCCUCACGGGGAGCCCACUGCAGUGCAGGAUUCUGUGGCCCCUGUCAGGCCCCCGGCUCGUGGCCUCUCCCCCCAGACCCAUGCCUGGGAAGGGAACAGCGGUCGUGGGCCAAAGGCAAGUGGGGGGCUCCUUAUCACAGAGGAGCCAGGGGUCCCUCGGCUGGGCACACGGCAGCGAUGCCGCAGAAGCGGACCUCGCGCAGAGGGCGCCGCCCCCCGUUAACCCAGCCUGGGGACCCCAAGACGCAAAGAACCAUCGCUCCAAUGCAGCGUCACAGGGACAUUGCCCACCUGACGCUCUGGAGCCCCUUCGGGUGGGAGAGCCUGGUCCUCUUUGGCAAAGUCACAGCCAUCCCCACCCCGGUAAGACCCCAGCG